GAAGAACAACAGCUCGGAUAUUUACUAUUUACUCGCCAUUGUAUGAUUUCAUUCUCAUGUUGUGACUUCGCAACAUAUUACGUGUCUGAGCGAUAAUUAGUUUUAGUUGAUUAAUUGUGGAAAAAACAGUGAAGCAAAGUGCAGCGAAACGUCAAAAGAAAGUGAAUCGUAUAAAUUUAGUUUGAUUAAAAAAAGUUUGAGCGAUAAAUCAUCAAAUAUAUUUACUCAUUAAACUGAAACGGUAGAGAUCGUUUAAAUUGAAAUUUCGCCGUUGGAUGCAGUCAAGAAUGAAUAUGAAGUAGGAAAACGUUUUUUCAAAGAUGAAGCAAAAUAAUAUGAUUCCCAUUUAUAAUCAUCAAAAUCGCGUGCCAAACCCACCGUAUGUAUUGAGGCCCAUGCAACACUUUUUGCCAACCAGAGCAGACUUGUGGAAAAUAGAAGUACAGCGACAAGAACAGCAAAUGCGACGCUUUCAUAUUGAGAAUGGGAUGAGCCCAGUGGAACAAUUACAGACAGCGUUGUCACAAGGAUGUGAGGCACGAGGGUCAGCUUUUUCGCCUGUGUGUGGGCAAAAUUCGGUAUUCGAGACACCGGCAGUGCAGAGAGAAAAUAUGGCGUCACCGAAACCAACGGAUUCAUUACCAACGAAAUGGACGUCUCAAGUAAAACCUCAAACGAAUUCAAAAAUAGAGUCCUCGGCCCAAAAUCCUGCAAAUAAGAGAUCGAAUUCAACAUCAUCGGAGAACUGCUAUGACCAGGUACCACAACAGCCUAGCCAGCCGUUCAAAUUUACCAUUCUUGAAUCCUGCGACAGGAUUAAGGAGGAAUUCGGCUUUUUACAAGCCCAGUAUCACAGCAUGAAAAUGGAGUGUGAGAAACUAGCGCAAGACCGGUUGGAAACACACAGACACUAUGUCAUGUACUACGAGAUGUCAUACGGUCUCAACGUCGAGAUGCACAAACAGACGGAGAUAUCGAAAAGAUUGAACGCCAUCAUACUGCAAAUCAUGCCAUUUUUGUCCCAAGAGCACCAGCAGCAAGUCCACACCGCCGUUGAAAGAGCAAAGCAAGUCACCAUGGCAGAGCUCAACUCCAUCGUCGGGCAGCAACGCCCCCCCGAUAUGUCACGACUGCUGCAACAGAUGUCGGUCCAGCACUUGCCUCCCGGUGCUGCAUUAGGUCCACAUCCAGGCCUGCCAGGCUUACCUGCCCUCGGACCCGGUGGUGGUCUCCCAGUACCGACUUCGGCGGCGUCUCUUAUCGGACUCGGAAUACCUCCUGGUGCACCGCCGACUCCGUCGAAUGCCAACAUUCAUGCCUCGCCGAUACACCCAAAGACCGAAAUGACUCACAGAAAUAACCAACCGGAUGAUGCCAAAAGUAACGGAGGACUCAGUUCAGCCGAAGAGAGACACAGAGCUUCGAUAUCGCCAGCCGACAACAAGUAUAUCAGGCAACGCUCGCCGCAAGAUAAUCUACACAGUCAUCACUCAUCGAAUCAUCACGAGCAUCCGAUUCAUAUGAAAAAAAUGAAGAAGGAACACGAGAAAGAUCUUGGCCACCAAAGCGACGGAGAGAAAAGUGACCAAGAUCUCGUGGUCGACGAUGCCAGCGACUGCCCUGCUAGUCCCGCUGUGAAUGGCACCGCCUCGCCCCGCGAAAACGGCAUCGAGAAGCACACCGCCUCGGGUAUGAGCAGUGCCGGUUCCUCCAGCAAUGGCAAUGGCCAGCUGAAGAAGGACGUGCCGCCUCAGUCGCCUCGCAGCGGCACUAGCAGCAACGCUAGCACCCCCUCGGCCAAGAAGAUGGAGGAGCGCGAAAAAUCCGCCACUCCGAUCUCGAAGCCCAUGACGCCGACUCCUUCGGCGGCUCUGAAGCCCGCGAGCACGAGCAAAGCUCCGGCUGCCAUGCAGGGCCCACCACCUCCGGGUGGCAUGCCCGGCGCUUUCCCCGCCUACUAUCCUCCCGGACCGCAUCAUCUGCCACCGGGAGCCAACCCAGGCCAACUAGAGCUCAUGGGAUAUGGUGCCUACGGCGCCCCGAGACCACCACUGGGUGCCGGAAUUCCACCUCAGAUGUACGAUCCGCAUGGCGCCAUGAGAAUGCCGCUGCCAGCUGCCUCCGUUCCUGGUGGAAAACCAGCUUACAGCUUCCAUGUUUCUGGCGACAAUAUCAUGGUACCGGUACCGUUUCCUCCAGAUGCUCUCAUGGGCGCCGGAAUUCCACGACAUGCCCGGCAAAUCAGCACACUCAACCAUGGAGAAGUAGUGUGCGCUGUGACGAUCUCGAACCCGACCAAAUAUGUCUACACCGGUGGAAAGGGCUGCGUGAAGGUGUGGGACAUCAGCCAAACCGGCAACGGCAACUCCAAACCCGUGUCCCAAUUGGACUGCUUGCAACGUGAAAAUUACAUCAGGUCCGUGAAACUGUUGCCCGAUGGACGCACACUCAUCGUCGGAGGAGAAGCCAGUCAGCUCAGUAUCUGGGACUUGGCUAGUCCAACUCCAAGAAUAAAGGCCGAACUAACGUCUUCGGCUCCAGCCUGUUACGCACUCGCGAUCUCGCCGGAUUCGAAAGUUUGCUUCAGCUGCUGUAGCGACGGCAACAUCGCCGUGUGGGAUCUUCACAAUCAGGCGCUCGUCAGACAGUUCCAAGGCCACACCGAUGGUGCAUCGUGCAUCGAUAUAUCUGCCGAUGGCUCCAAGCUGUGGACCGGAGGUCUCGACAACACUGUGCGCUCGUGGGAUCUUCGCGAGGGUCGUCAGCUCCAGCAGCACGACUUCACCUCGCAGAUCUUCUCACUUGGCUACUGUCCCACCGGCGAAUGGUUAGCCGUGGGUAUGGAAAAUUCUAACGUUGAGGUACUGCAUGCGACCAAACCCGACAAGUAUCAGUUGCAUCUGCACGACUCGUGCGUACUGUCGCUACGAUUCGCUUCCUGCGGCAAAUGGUUUGUUUCUACUGGCAAGGACAACCUUCUCAACGCAUGGCGUACACCUUACGGAGCCUCGAUAUUCCAGUCGAAAGAAUCGUCGUCCGUGUUGAGCUGCGACAUUUCCAUAGAUGACAAAUUCAUCGUCACUGGUUCUGGUGAUAAGAAAGCAACGGUCUACGAGGUGAUGUAUUAAAGCAGCCACCUUUGUGCCAGACAGAUGCAGGAACACAGGCAGACUUGAGAAAAUUCUUCGAGUCUCACGCACAAUUUCAGCAUGCCAACUGACCAUAUUGUACAUAAGAGAGAAUAGAUGACUAAGCAGAUGAAUCGCGACGACGAAAGAGAGUGAGUGUGCACGAGCGAUGUGAUGAAAGCUUUAGUACAUGCAAAUACAGACGCGCGUCGGGCUUAUUAUAUAAAA
rnacentral:misc_RNA from 1 species